rnacentral:pre_miRNA from 1 species
UCUCUGAUGGGCCCCAAAUAAGACGAAUUAAAUUCCAGUGAUAGCCACUAUCCAUCUCCGUUCAAAAAUACCUUUGACUGGUGGCAAUAACUAGGUAGUUUAGAUAACUUAAAAGAGGCUCAUCAAUUG